GACGAACGCUGGCGGCGUGCCUAAUACAUGCAAGUCGAGCGAAGUUUUUCUGGUGCUUGCACCGGAAAAACUUAGCGGCGAACGGGUGAGUAACACGUAAAGAACCUGCCUCAUAGACUGGGACAACUAUUGGAAACGAUAGCUAAUACCGGAUAACAGCAUUAACUGCAUGGUUGAUGUUUAAAAGUUGGUUUUGCUAACACUAUGAGAUGGCUUUGCGGUGCAUCAGCUAGUUGGUGGGGUAAAGGCCUACCAAGGCGACGAUGCAUAGCCGACCUGAGAGGGUGAUCGGCCACACUGGGACUGAGACACGGCCCAGACUCCUACGGGAGGCAGCAGUAGGGAAUCUUCCGCAAUGGGCGAAAGCCUGACGGAGCAACGCCGCGUGAGUGAAGAAGGAUUUCGGUUCGUAAAGCUCUGUUGUUAGGGAAGAAUGAUUGUGUAGUAACUAUACACAGUAGAGACGGUACCUAACCAGAAAGCCACGGCUAACUACGUG
rnacentral:rRNA from 1 species